rnacentral:rRNA from 1 species
CAUGCAUGUCUGAGUUCGCACCCCUCACGAACGGGUAAACCGCGAAUGGCUCAUUAAAUCAGUCCGGGUUCCUUAGGCGACACGGCCCUCACGGGCGAAUUGGAUAACUGUGGCAAAUCUAGAGCUAAUACAUGCGCACCGAGCCCCGACCCGCCUCACGGCGGGGAAGGGCGCUUUUAUUAGUACAAGACCGGCGUCCGUCGCGACUUGUCGCGCGGACCCUCGUCAGGCGAACUCUGGAUAACCGGCCCGACCGCUCCGUCCCUCGGGACGGCGGCGCGCCUUUCAAGCGUCUGCCCUAUCAAAUGUCGACGGUAGGUCAUACGCCAACCGUGUUGACGACGGGUAACGGGGAAUCGGGGUUCGGUUCCGGAGAGGGAGCACGAGAAACGGCUACCACAUCCAAGGAAGGCAGCAGGCGCGCAACUUACCCACUCCCAGCUCGGGGAGGUAGUGACGAGAAAUAACGAUGCGGGUCUCGAGUCGGGCCCCGCGGUCGGAAUGAGUGCAGUCCAAACCCCUGACAGCGACGACCCAUUGGAGGGCAAGCCUGGUGCCAGCAGCCGCGGUAAUUCCAGCUCCAAUAGCGUAUAUUAAAGCUGCUGCAGUUAAAAAGCUCGUAGUUGGAUCUCGAGGCGGGCGGCAUCGCCCGGCGGGGGCGCGGCUUCGGUCGUCGUCCCGGUCGGCGGUGCCGUACCGCCCCGUCGAGCGCCGGCUCUCUCCCGCGGCCGUUCUUCACUGAGCGGCCCGGGCGGCCGGCCUU